AGUAAACAGUGUAUUUUAUUAUAAAGGAUUUUCGUUUUUCUACUGCUCCGUAGUUCGUGUGCUCCGUGCUCCGUGUGCUCCGUACUCCGUGUGCUCCGUGUUUUACUAAUAGCCAUAAUGAUACAGUCGCAGGCAUAUGUGAACCAGGCUUUAGGGUUAAGUCAACCGGUUUUUGAACAACCGGUCCAGCAGAUUCGUGAAACAAUUCUGCAUUUUAUGGUGAAAGCACCAAAUUUGAACAGAUAUAGAGAUGAUAGAAAUCUAACCGUCACCCGGAAAAAGUCCAUUUUAAUAGUAUUAUCUUUGCAAUAAAGAAAUGUUCCGGCGCGUAGUACGAUUUUCUAACUCUAUUUUGAAUUUAAUAUAAACAACUGUGCCGGUGGAAUAAGUGUGCAUAAAUUAUGCAAAGCAAGCACUUUCUACGAAGUUUUUACACGGUGCAAUUAUUCAUGCAACUUGUCCCGCAACGUUUAAAAAAAGAUUUUGAUAAUACGUUGCAAGAGGUGUUACACACUGCAAUGAUUUUCAUGCAACUCGCAACGAUAGGGGACAGAGGUAUGCGAAGAGACUAAGGAGAGGCGCUAUUUGGCGCCAAAUUUUAAUUAAAGUAAAGCGUGUACUGGGGAGAGCCAAUAGGAACUCUCCAAGCAAUAAACAUUGCGAGACAAGUUGCACGAAGCCAUGUUACACGCUGCAAUGCUAAAAAUAAUUAGUGCAAUCGUUGACAAAAGUAGAACAAACUUCUACUCUGUGCAAUGCUUCAUGCAACUUGUCUCGCAAAGAUUUUGACCCUUUGCAAGACAUGUUAAACGGUGCAAUGACUCGUGCAACUUGUCUUGCAACGCCAUUGCGACUUGCGAGACAAGUUGCAUGAAAAAUUGCACCGUGUAACAGGGCCAGAGCUCACAAGACAAAGAAAAAUUUUCUUGUCCGUUCCAAUCCACGGAUAAUUUUCCUGAGUGGAAACUAGCCUUAAGCGUCCACAACUCAAGAGUCCUGGUCAACCACAAUGCAAUGCGUACGUUUGUUUACGUUUCUGUUACGUUGUGAGCCAGAGGCAGCCAUUUUUGUGACGAGGAUGGUGACAUCGAAAAUGGCGGCAACAAUUGAGAAAAGUAACGGGAAAACGUAAACAAAAGCGCCCAUUGCAUUGUGGUUGACCAAGACUCUUUAAAUUGCCAAAUAAAUUGGUG